UACGUAGGGUGCGAGCGUUGUCCGGAAUUAUUGGGCGUAAAGAGCUCGUAGGCGGUCUGUCGCGUCGAUCGUGAAAACUUGGGGCUUAACCCUGAGCUUGCGGUCGAUACGGGCAUGACUGGAGUUCGGCAGGGGAGACUGGAAUUCCUGGUGUAGCGGUGAAAUGCGCAGGUAUCAGGAGGAACACCGGUGGCGAAGGCGGGUCUCUGGGCCGAUACUGACGCUGAGGAGCGAAAGCGUGGGGAGCGAACAGG
rnacentral:rRNA from 1 species